AGAGUUUGAUCCUGGCUCAGGAUGAACGCUGGCGGUAUGCUUAACACAUGCAAGUCGAACGGGGUGCUUCGGCACCUAGUGGCGGACGGGUGAGUAACGCGUGAGAAUCUGGCCUCAGGUCCGGGACAACCAUUGGAAACGGUGGCUAAUACCGGAUGUGCCAUUAGGUGAAAGAUUAAUUGCCUGAGGAUGAGCUCGCGUCUGAUUAGCUAGUUGGUGGGGUAAAAGCCUACCAAGGCUCCGAUCAGUAACUGGUCUGAGAGGAUGACCAGUCACACUGGGACUGAGACACGGCCCAGACUCCUACGGGAGGCAGCAGUGGGGAAUUUUCCGCAAUGGGCGAAAGCCUGACGGAGCAAUACCGCGUGAGGGAGGAAGGCUCUUGGGUUGUAAACCUCUUUUCUCAGGGAAGAACAAUGACGGUACCUGAGGAAUCAGCAUCGGCUAACUCCGUGCCAGCAGCCGCGGUAAUACGGAGGAUGCAAGCGUUAUCCGGAAUUAUUGGGCGUAAAGCGUCUGUAGGUGGACGUUCAAGUCUGCUGUCAAAGACCGGGGCUUAACCCUGGAAAGGCGGUGGAAACUGAAAGUCUAGAGUGCGGUAGGGGCAGAGGGAAUUCCCAGUGUAACGGUGAAAUGCGUAGAGAUUGGGAAGAACACCGGUGGCGAAAGCGCUCUGCUGGGCCUGCACUGACACUAAGGGACGAAAGCUAGGGGAGCGAAUGGGAUUAGAUACCCCUGUAGUCC
rnacentral:rRNA from 1 species